rnacentral:rRNA from 1 species
ACUCCUACGGGAGGCAGCAGUGGGGAAUAUUGCACAAUGGGCGCAAGCCUGAUGCAGCCAUGCCGCGUGUGUGAAGAAGGCCUUCGGGUUGUAAAGCACUUUCAGUCGUGAGGAAGGUAGUGUAGUUAAUAGCUGCAUUAUUUGACGUUAGCGACAGAAGAAGCACCGGCUAACUCCGUGCCAGCAGCCGCGGUAAUACGGAGGGUGCGAGCGUUAAUCGGAAUUACUGGGCGUAAAGCGCAUGCAGGUGGUUUGUUAAGUCAGAUGUGAAAGCCCGGGGCUCAACCUCGGAAUUGCAUUUGAAACUGGCAGACUAGAGUACUGUAGAGGGGGUAGAAUUUCAGGUGUAGCGGUGAAAUGCGUAGAGAUCUGAAGGAAUACCGGUGGCGAAGGCGGCCCCCUGGACAGAUACUGACACUCAGAUGCGAAAGCGUGGGGAGCAAACAGGAUUAGAUACCCUGGUAGGAUAGCG